UUUCCUUCGUUGCGGUCACCUCUUCACUUGCUUUCGUCCGUGCUCUCGCCAUCGCAGUCAUUUUUGCCAUCGACAUCAUCAUCGGCGUUGCAGUCAACAAGGAUUCAAAAGCUGGCGGCGGAAUAUGUUUCUAAACUUAGCAGAAUGAAUUUCACCAACGCCAGUUCCUUACAGGAAGCCAUAGCGGUUUUGGAAAUAUUUAUCACAGGUAUUAAAAACAUCACAAAAGCUCGUAACCGCGCCCCUAUAACAGAUGGGAUUGAGACAAGAAGAGGAUCCACUUUUAAAGUGGCUAUCGCCUUUGA